UCUAUGGUGGAAGACAUUUUAUUGUCAGUGGAGGGAUGACUGGCCAGCAGCAAGAAGAGCUCCCUGAGAUGAAGGGAUACUGGCCUCUACUUGACAGGAAGCUGCUGCACUCACAUACGUGAAGAGUCGCCAAAAUGAUAGAUGCCCUGACCUGCCUGCAGCAUAAACAGAGAAUGUCCCCAUGAA